GAUGAACGCUGACAGAAUGCUUAACACAUGCAAGUCAACCUGUGGCGUACGGGUGAGUAACGCGUAUAGAACUUACCUCACAUUUAGGGACAACAUUUGGAAACGAAUGCUAAUACCUAAUACUGUGAGAGAGCUUUGCGUCCCAUUAGCUAGUUGGAGAGGUAACGGCUCACCAAGGCGAUGAUGUGUAGCCGGACUGAGAGGGUGUUCGGCCACAAGGGGACUGGGACACGGCCCUUACUCCUACGGGAGGCAGGAGUGGGGGAGAUUGGACAAUGGACCAAAGUCUGAUCCAGCAAUUCUGGGUGCACGAUGAAGUUUUCGGAAUGUAAAGUGCUUUGAGUUGGGAAGCGGUACCAACAGAAGAAGUGACGGCUAAAUACGUGCCAGCCGCCGCGGUAAUAC
rnacentral:rRNA from 1 species